rnacentral:rRNA from 1 species
UACGUAGGUGGCAAGCGUUGUCCGGAUUUACUGGGCGUAAAGAGCGCGCAGGCGGUCGUCCAAGUCGCGUGUGAAAGCCCCCGGCUCAACUGGGGAGGGUCACGCGAUACUGGUCGACUCGAAGGCAGGAGAGGGUAGUGGAAUUCCCGGUGUAGUGGUGAAAUGCGUAGAUAUCUGGAGGAACACCGGUGGCGAAGGCGGCAUCCUGGACCGAUAUUGACGCUGAUGCGCGAAAGCCAGGGGAGCAAACGGG